rnacentral:rRNA from 1 species
AGCGAACGCUGGCGGCAGGCCUAACACAUGCAAGUCGAACGAACCUUUCGGGGUUAGUGGCGGACGGGUGAGUAACACGUGGGAACGUGCCUUUAGGUUCGGAAUAACUCAGGGAAACUUGUGCUAAUACCGAAUGUGCCCUUCGGGGGAAAGAUUAAUCGCCUUUAGAGCGGCCCGCGUCUGAUUAGCUAGUUGGUUGAGGUAAUGGCUCACCAAGGCGACGAUCAGUAGCUGGUCUGAGAGGAUGAUCGGCCACAUUGGGACUGAGACACGGCCCAAACUCCUACGGGAGGCAGCAGUGGGGAAUCUUGCGCAAUGGGCGAAAGCCUGACGCAGCCAUGCCGCGUGAAUGAUGAAGGUCUUAGGAUUGUAAAAUUCUUUCACCGGGGACGAUAAUGACGGUACCCGGAGAAGAAGCCCCGGCUAACUUCGUG